AUUGAACGCUGGCGGCAGGCCUAACACAUGCAAGUCGAGCGGAUGAAGGGAGCUUUCUCCUGGAUUCAGCGGCGGACGGGCGAGUAAUGCCUAGGAAUCUGCCUGGCAGUGGGGGAUAACGUCCGGAAACGGGCGCUAAUACCGCAUACGUCCUUAGGGAGAAAGUGGGGGAUCUUCGGACCUCACGCGAUCAGAUGAGCCUAGGUCGGAUUAGCUAGUUGGUGGGGUAAAGGCCUACCAAGGCGACGAUCCGUAACUGGUCUGAGAGGAUGAUCAGCCACACUGGAACUGAGACACGGUCCAGACUCCUACGGGAGGCAGCAGUGGGGAAUCUUGGGCAAUGGGCGAAAGCCUGAUGCAGCCAUGCCGCGUGUGUGAAGAAGGUCUUCGGAUUGUAAAGCACUUUAAGUUGGGAGGAAGGGCAGUAAGUUAAUACCUUGCUGUUUUGACGUUACCAACAGAAUAAGCCCCGGCUAACUUCGUG
rnacentral:rRNA from 1 species